UGGGGAAUUUUGCGCAAUGGGGGAAACCCUGACGCAGCAACGCCGCGUGGAGGAUGAAGUAGCCUUGGGACGUAAACUCCUUUCGAUCGGGACGAUAAUGACGUACCUGCAGAAGAAGCUCCGGCCAACUACGUG
rnacentral:rRNA from 1 species